rnacentral:rRNA from 1 species
CCUACGGGAGGCAGCAGUGAGGAAUAUUGGUCAAUGGCCGGAAGGCUGAACCAGCCAUGCCGCGUGAAGGUCAGUGCCCUAUGGGCGUUAAACUUCUUUUGUGCGGGAGCAAUAAUGGUCACGUGUGGCCAGACGAGAGUACCGUACGAAUAAGCAUCGGCUAACUCCGUGCCAGCAGCCGCGGUAAUACGGGGGAUGCAAGCGUUAUCCGGAUGUAUUGGGUUUAAAGGGUGCGUAGGCUGUGAGGUAAGUCAGCGGUGAAAUGCCCCCGCUCAACGGGGUGAAGUGCCAUUGAUACUGCCUGGCUGGAAUGCGGAUGCCGUGGGAGGAAUGUGUGGUGUAGCGGUGAAAUGCAUAGAUAUCACACAGAACACCGAUUGCGAAGGCAUCUCACGAAGCCGCGAUUGACGCUGAUGCACGAAAGCGUGGGUAUCAAACAGGAUUAGAUACCCUUGUAGUC